GUAUGGUUCAAGUGGUAAAACGCCUGCCUGGCAAGCAUGAGGCCCUGCGUUCAAACCUCAGUAUAUACA
rnacentral:tRNA from 1 species